GCGAAGCGCGGAGACCUUACAACGCUUCGCUUCUGGGGCAGAGUGACAAGUGGUGCAUGGUUGUCGUCAGCUCGUGUCGUGAGAUGUUGGGUUAAGUCCCGCAACGAGCGCAACCCUUAAGUUUAGUUGCCAUCAUUAAGUUGGGCACUCUAGACUGACUGCCGGUGACAAACCGGAGGAAGGUGGGGACGACGUCAAAUCAUCAUGCCCCUUAUGAUUUGGGCUACACACGUGCUACAAUGGACAGGUUACAAAGGGCAGCAACGCCGCGAGGCCAAGCGAAUCCCAUAAAACUGUUCUCAGUUCGGAUUGGAGUCUGCAACUCGACUCCAUGAAGCUGGAAUCGCUAGUAAUCGUAGAUCAGCAUGCUACGGUGAAUACGUUCCCGGGUCUUGUACACACCG
rnacentral:rRNA from 1 species